rnacentral:rRNA from 1 species
UACGUAGGAUGCAAGCGUUGUUCGGAAUUACUGAGCGUAAAGCGCGUGUAGGCGGCUCUGCAAGUCGGGUGUGAAAUCCCACGGCUCAACCAUGGAAGUGCACUCGAAACUGCAGGGCUAGAGUCCUGGAGAGGAAGGUGGAAUGCUUGGUGUAGAGGUGAAAUUCGUAGAUAUCAAGCGGAACACCGGUGGCGAAGGCGGCCUUCUGGACAGUGACUGACGCUGAGACGCGAAAGCGUGGGGAGCAAACAGG